UAAGAGUUUAUGAUAUUAUGAAAUGUCAUCUCUGAAUACAAUUGCCAUGGGGGAUCUAUUAGCUUUCUUCCAUCUGUUAAUAACUGAUUCCUAGCAGGGAAUACAUUUUCCAUAGAGCAGACAUUCAGUAAAUAUUUAUGAAUUUGAAUGGACUUGAAUACAGGUUACCUUCAAAGCUCGGAUAUGAAACAUCUCAAGAGAUGUACUCAAGAGUUGAAGUUUAAUCUUUCGAAGAGGGAUCACGUUUCUCCUACAAAAAGCUUGGAUUUCAUGUUUCCAAAAUGAAGACCACUCUAUCCACUAAUAUGGAGAAAGUAAUAAAGACCAAUAUCUGGAUUUUAGGUUUGCUUCUAUUGAGGUCCAAUGUCUAUAUGUUUUGUUUCAGGUAGCAGACAAAAGUGAUAGAGUCUGUGCUUUCUCAGUCUCUGAUCAUUUUGCCUAUGACUGAUGAAUCCAAGCAACAAAGACAAAUAACCAUUGUCUGGAGGAUGGGCAGCUGUGACUUCUAAGAGAGACUUGCGGAAGAUUCUGAGGCCAAGUCUGCAUGCGGAAGGAAAGACACUGUGAUUGAUGAGCCUUUUCUGUCAGGUGGAAGAACAGGGAAGAGGGGCAAGCACACCAGGAAUUUGUCUUCUCCUCUGGGUUCUGGCUAUGAUGUCAGAGGGAUCUCAGGAUCAUUUCUUCAAGGGAAUUCAGUGAUAUAUGGCUUUUGUACUAUAGGAUUAGAGUAGUUCCACUAAGAGGGCUUUUCAGGGAUGCCUUUCAGGAAGCUUUGCCAGACUUUCUCCACUUACAUAUCUCUGUUCGUGUUUUGUUUUCUUGGUUGGGCAUGCGUUGGAAGGCAUUAUUAGCUGAGAAAAACUAGUUUAUCACACAUUUUAAGAAGCAAUAGCACCGAUUCCUUUCAAUUUAGGCAUUUGUUCAUUUAUUUCAACUACAGAUACUUCUGUAAAGACUAUUAGGAGGCAGGCACUUUGUUAGGGACGGGGUUUACAGUGCUGGGAGAAGAAUGUUCUCGCCGUCCCGGGGGUUCUUUUAGAGUUGAGUGCCUUUAAAAUUACUUUAUUGGAAGGAUCUUCUAAGUCCAGUUGACUCCUAGAAUGUGCCAUCUGGUAUCCUAGGUGUUGUGGAUGGGACAGUGACUAAAACACUAAAGCACAGUUCCUACUUUCAUGAAACUUCCAGUUAAAUAUACAGUAUAAUGUCAGUGAAGCAUGUUAUAAAGGAAAGCAGAAGGUUAAUAGGAAGGGAAAGGCUAGUCAGGGAAGUUCUCUAUGUGUAUAUAUAUAUAUAUAUUUUUUUAACUUGAAGCAGAGCUAUGAAUGAAGACCUUUGUGAAGACCCAUGGGAAGAGAGAAGAGGCAACCAGAGGAAAGGUCAUGAGGCUCACACCCGGCAUGUGAAAAAAUUGAACUUCCUGACUCCUCAUGGAUGGGAAGCCAUGCCAUCUUCACCAUCAUGGCCUGAGAAGUAUACCAAAGCCAGGGUUCUAAAUCUUAUCUGAUUUAUAACACUAAAGUAACCCUAUCGAUCUAAACUUGAGAAGAAAAUAAGAAACAAAACAGUCGAAAGAGGAUGACCAAAAAUAAGGUGUCCUGGAAGAACAUCAGUGGUAAGUAGUCUCUAAGAUGGCCCCCAAUGAUCCCAGCCUCCUAGUAUUCAUGUCCUUGCAUGAUCCCUUCCCCUUGAAUGUGGGCUGCACUUGGAGACUCGCUUCUAAUGAAUAGAAAAUGACAAUUAUGACUGCCACUUCUGGAUUCAGUUACAAAAGACUGGCUUCCAUCUUUGGCUGCUCCCUCUUGUUUUCUUGCUCACUUGGUCAAAGGGAAGCCAGCUGCCAUGUUAUAAGCUGCCCUGUGGACAGGUACCUGUGUAAGGAAAUGAGAAAGGCCUCCUCACAGCCAGUGAGGAACUGAGCCAGUGAGGAACCAGUGAGCCAGUGAGGGACUUGAGGCCCUCAGUCCAGCAACCUGUGAGGAACUGAAUCCUGCCAAUAAUCACAGAAGUGUCCUUACCCCAGCCAACAGUGUGACUGCAAGGUCAGGAAAGACCUUCAGCCAGCCACAUCCAAAUUCCUGAUUCCAGAAGCUGAGAUAAUAAAUGUUUUCUGUCUCAAGCUGCUAACUUUUGAGGUAAUUUGUUAUAUGGCAAUAAAUAAUACAAUACCUUAAGUAUAUCCUGGAGCACAAUGCCAAAGAAUAUAAAUGCAAAGCUAUGGGCUUCUGAGAGUGUAUUUUAAACGUGUCUGGGCUGAAUCCAAUUGCCAUAAAGGAAAUAGUCCUUUUAGCUAAAUCAUGAAGACCAUGUGUCAAAAGCAGAAUCACUUGUUAAGACCAAGCUAUUCCUUGAUUAUACUCACCCUUAUCCGUGUGCAACUCUUCAUUUCUCAGCUUCUCUUCCAGUUAGAUUCACCACGUGGCUAGUUCUGUCUGGUGGAAUGUAAAGGUAAACUGUUUUACUUCUGGUUGAUUUCUUCCCCUAAUAUCCUGGCUCAACUUGAAACCAGAGGAUGGUGAGACCCCAAGAUGGAAGGGGCAUGUGGUAAGAGAGAGAAAUAAGUUCAAUGGUAUUAAGCCACUAGGAUUUCAGGUUUUAUUUGUUACCAUGGUGUAGCCUGUCAUAUCCUGACUACUAUAUUCAGUAAUAGUUAUGAUGUAAAGGGUAGCACGUCCAUUGAAAUAACAGUUUUUAAGUAUCCUGACUGGUCUAUAUAGAGAGAGACAAUAUCACUUGUCUAAUUUGUAGGGCAGGUUCUUUGUAUAUUUUCAUUUUCCCCCUAGGGAGAACACUUUUCUCCUCCACCACAGUGGUUUGGUUACACAGUCUAGAGGGGACCUAGAUGCAGUCUGUGCCCUGGAAAUCUGCCACCUGCAUAUUCCACUCCUGUCCCAUUUAACCUUGAUAACCAAUUUACCGGUAUGUGAAACUUAUAUAUUUCUGGUAGUAUUUUGUGUGCUUGUUUUUCUUUUUCUUUUCAUUUCUUUUAUGAUACAGAUACAUUCUUGGAUUCCUUCAGCUCUUUAGAAACUGACAAAUGGCAAGAGUAUAUGCUUUAAUAAAGAACUAUCUGUUUUAAUAAAGAACAAUUUCUCAGUCCUUUUUUAAAAGUAAUCUCGGGACACCUGGGUGGCCCCGUUGGUUAAGUGGCUGCCUUCAGCUCAGGUCAUGAUCCCAGG